rnacentral:rRNA from 1 species
CCUACGGGUGGCAGCAGUGAGGAAUAUUGGUCAAUGGACGAGAGUCUGAACCAGCCAAGUAGCGUGAAGGAUGACUGCCCUAUGGGUUGUAAACUUCUUUUAUAAAGGAAUAAAACGAGGCACGUGUGCCUGUUUGCAGGUACUUUAUGAAUAAGGAUCGGCUAACUCCGUGCCAGCAGCCGCGGUAAUACGGAGGAUCCGAGCGUUAUCCGGAUUUAUUGGGUUUAAAGGGAGCGUAGAUGGGUUGUUAAGUCAGUUGUGAAAGUUUGCGGCUCAACCGUAAAAUUGCAAUUGAUACUGGCAGUCUUGAGUACGGUUGAGGUAGGCGGAAUGCGUGGUGUAGCGGUGAAAUGCUUAGAUAUCACGCAGAACCCCGAUUGCGAAGGCAGCUUACUAGCCUGUGACUGACAUUGAUGCUCGAAAGUGUGGGUAUCAAACAGGAUUAGAUACCCCAGUAGUC